GCAGUCGAGCGGAACCAUUGGAGCUUGCUCCUUUGGUUUAGCGGCGGACGGGUGAGUAACACGUGGGCAACCUGCCCUGCAGAUCGGGAUAACUCCGGGAAACCGGUGCUAAUACCGAAUAGUUUGCGGCCUCUCAUGAGGCUGCACGGAAAGACGGUUUCGGCUGUCACUGCAGGAUGGGCCCGCGGCGCAUUAGCUAGUUGGUGGGGUAACGGCCUACCAAGGCGACGAUGCGUAGCCGACCUGAGAGGGUGAUCGGCCACACUGGGACUGAGACACGGCCCAGACUCCUACGGGAGGCAGCAGUAGGGAAUCUUCCGCAAUGGACGAAAGUCUGACGGAGCAACGCCGCGUGAGUGAAGAAGGUUUUCGGAUCGUAAAACUCUGUUGUGAGGGAAGAACAAGUAUCAACUAACUAUUGGUACCUUGACGGUACCUCACCAGAAAGCCACGGCUAACUACGUGCCAGCAGCCGCGGUAAU
rnacentral:rRNA from 1 species